rnacentral:rRNA from 1 species
GACGAACGCUGGCGGCGUGCUUAACACAUGCAAGUCGAACGGAAAGGCCCUGCUUUUGUGGGGUGCUCGAGUGGCGAACGGGUGAGUAACACGUGAGUAACCUGCCCUUGACUGUGGGAUAACUUCAGGAAACUGGGGAUCAUACCGGAUAGGAUCUCCUGCUGCACGGGGGGGGUUGGAAAGUUUCGGCGGUUGGGGAUGGACUCGAGGCUUAUCAGCUUGUUGGUCAGGUAGUGCCUUACCAAGGCUGUGACGGGUAGCCGGCCUGAGAGGGUGGCCGGCCACAUUGGGACUGAGGUACGGCCCAGACUCCUACGGGAGGCAGCAGUGGGGAAUAUGGCACAAUGGGCGGACGCGUGAUGCAGCAACGCCGCGUGCGGGAUGACGUCCUUCUGGUUGUAAACCGCUUUCGCCUGUGACGAAGCGUGAGUGACGGUAAUGGGUAAAGAAGCACCGGCUAACUACGUG